rnacentral:rRNA from 1 species
CCUACGGGAGGCAGCAGUGAGGAAUAUUGGUCAAUGGGCGGAAGCCUGAACCAGCCAAGUAGCGUGCAGGAUGACGGUCCUAUGGGUUGUAAACUUCUUUUAUACGGGAAUAAAGUGCCGUACGUGUAGGGUUUUGUAUGUACCGUAUGAAUAAGGACCGGCUAAUUCCGUGCCAUCAGCCGCGGUAAUACGGAAGGUCCGGGCGUUAUCCGGAUUUAUUGGGUUUAAAGGGAGCGUAGGCCGCCUUUUAAGUUAGCUGUGAAAUGCCCGGGCUCAACCCUAGACUUGCAGGGGGAACUGGGAGGCUUGAGUACGAUGGAGGCAGGCGGAAUGCGUGGUGUAGCGGUGAAAUGCUUAGAUAUGACGAAGAACCCCGAUUGCGAAGGCAGCUUGC